rnacentral:rRNA from 1 species
UACGAAGGGGGCUAGCGUUGCUCGGAAUUACUGGGCGUAAAGGGCGCGUAGGCGGAUGUUUAAGUCAGAGGUGAAAGCCCAGGGCUCAACCUUGGAAUUGCCUUUGAAACGGGAACGCUUGAGUCCGAGAGAGGGUGGCGGAAUUCCUAGUGUAGAGGUGAAAUUCGUAGAUAUUAGGAAGAACACCAGUGGCGAAGGCGGCCACCUGGCUCGGUACUGACGCUCAGGUUCGAAAGCGUGGGGAGCAAACAGG